AAGCUUCCAUUCGAUUCGGAGUCAUUCGGACUUUUUGAUUCGAACUCCAUCUGUCAAAACCAAAACUCAGUGUAACAUGGAAUAAAAAAAAUUAACUUGAACAGAUGCGAAGCGUUGUUUUAUUUCUUUUAAUCAUACUUUUAUUUCUCCUUUAUAAAUUAAUUAAUUAGUUUGGAAACAAAAUAAAAUAAGUAAUAAAGAACCAAAGUCCUUAAAAAAAUCCCACAAUAACUUAUCAAAUCAAUUGAACAACCUGCGUUUUAUUUUUGUUUUUGUCCGAUUCGCAACUGCACAAAAAAUAACAUGUCGGCUUAUCCUUGAACAGGAAUUAGCAAGACGCUGCUCAAAGAUAAAUCCUAAGGAGAUAUAUUAUUCCGACGAAUACUACGAUGACGAGUUUGAGUAUCGGCACGUUGUCCUGCCCACAUGGAACUUGUAAACUUGUCCCAAAGACACUUCUCAUGUCGGAAAAUUAAUGACGAGCAACUGGUGUGUACCAGUCCCGUGGAUUGGUGCAUUAUUAUGCUACACAAACCAGGGCUUCCGUAGACCGAUCGAACCAAAAUAAAACAAUUCCAAUCCAACGCCAUUGAAUCUUCUGAGACAGUAAGUAUGUAAGGUCGCCAAAAAUCAAGAGUGGCGCUCUCCGAAUGCUAAACAAUCUUUACCCAACCCCACCGGCUAUCUCGAGAAAAAGAAGUGUCUAAUCUUUGGAUGGGGCUGUUUGAGUGGAAGACGACUCCCCCAUCGUCUUCGCAUUCCUGAACGGGUUUCCCGGAUGACACACUGGACAUUUGGGGAGAAAUUACUCCCUCUUUUCCACACCCGAAGCAGAACACCUUCCAAUUGGAAGACAAACAAUUUUUAAAUUUGUGGCCUAGCUGUUUGCAAUUCCAACAAUCCAAGGAUUUGGAAUCGCUUGGCCCACGAGAUGUGUUCGGUCUAGAUCCCGGAUGUCUAAACGCUGCCAAAUGCUCUGCCUGAUGAGAUCCACACUCAUCGUCAUCAAACUCUAGCUCAUUAGCCAUGUAACGACCCUGUGGUCGAUAGUUUUUCGAAGCUUCUUUUUCGACCCGAUCACUAUCUGAAAACGCAUAUUCGGCGUCCUUACACGCAGUCCGCAACUGAUCGAGAGUGAAUAAGGAUUGCGGGUAAACCAGCGCUCUUAACUUCUUAUUCAAGUUGCGCUUCAGGAUCUGUACCAGCUCAAUUUCCGGAAUCGGUACCCUGAGCUGAGACCUAAUUCUGUUUACGGCGGUGAAGUAUUGGUCACAUGUCUCAGCAGAGCCAUGCUUCCGAUCCAUCAUAUCCCUAACUAACUCAUAAUCGGAUCGCGAAUUUUUAUAUUGGCGCAUCAAGGCGUCACGGAGCUGUGGCCAAUCGGGACGGUAAAAUGUUCGCUGGAAUUGCCAAUACCACUCUUUCGCAGCACCGGAUAGUAGUAGACGGAAUUCCCUUAGAACCUCAGCCCAUGGGCAUGCAUAAUCGCUCUGGAGCAUCUCUACUUGGAAAACGAAUUCUUCUACCAAAUGAUGGUGUGAACUACCUGGUGGCGGUAGAUAGUACCCACCAUGAGGCUGUGGUAUACCUCCAGACCCUUCCUCGAAGUCAGGUUCGGACCUAGUGUCGCGGAAUGACCGUUGAUUGCCCCCUCUAGGAUUCCCUACCGGAACAAAAGGUCUAGAAGCAGGAUUUAAUUGUGUGGAAUUCGCAACUCCUGUAUUUGGCUGCGCUGCAGAGCUCAUUACCACAAAAACUUGCGAACACAAAUUAACUUUGCUCUCCAAUCAACACUAACAAUUCUAAAAACACCAAAAAGAAAUAUAAAAAAACUAUACUAUUUAAAAAACUAUGUAUUUACGUAUAUCAAAAAAAACUAUAAAUGAAAUCUGUAAAUAUUUUAAGAAAACUUACACCUAAGAACUAACCUAUGUAAAUUAUAUCUAAAAUUUUA